rnacentral:rRNA from 1 species
CCUACGGGUGGCAGCAGUGGGGAAUCUUUCACAAUGGGGGAAACCCUGAUGCAGCAACGCCGCGUGAGUGACGAAGGCCUUCGUUUUGUAAAGCUCUAUCAGCAGGGAAGAAAAUGACGGUAACUGAGUAAUAAGCCCCGGCUAACUACGUGCCAGCAGCCGCGGUCAUACGUAGGGGGCAAGCGUUAUCCGGAUUUACUGGGUGUAAAGUGAGCGUAGACGGAAGUGCAAGUCUGGAGUGAAAGGCGGGGGUUCAACCCCCGGACUGCUCUGGAAACUGUACGGCUGGAGUGCAGGAGAGGUAAGUGGAAUUACUAGUGUAGCGGUGAAAUGCGUAGAUAUUAGGAGGAACACCAGUGGCGAAGGCGGCUUACUGGACUGUAACUGACGUUGAGGCUCGAAAGCGUGGGGAGCAAACAGGAUUAGAUACCCGAGUAGUC